CAGGAACAGAAGUGUGUCCCGGCCAGUGGAGAACUCUCCCCGGAGCUCCAGGAGUGGGCACCUUACUCGCCUGGGCAUUCCAGCCGGCACAGCAACCCCCCGCUAUACCCUAGCAGGCCGUCUGUGGGUGAGUCAGCCAGCCAGGGGCUGGGGCUGAGGGUCGGUGUAAACUCGGGAUGCCUAGUCUCCAGGGAGAGGGGAGGCAGCAUUUCAGAGAGCUGCCAUGUGUUUUCAGCCCUGAGGUCCAGAGAACUGGGAAAUGCUGUCCUGUCUGGGAUGGUUUGUCUUAUAGCCAUGACAUGUCUUAGCUUGUCAACAUGCUUUCUCCCCAUAGCAACCUGGGAAAUAGGAAGCAUGAAAGAGACUUCCCCCCUUUUUACAAAUGGAGACAGGCCAGGAGCCACAGCCACAUUGUGAAUUGGUGGUUAAAACUCAUCUCCCAAGUCCUUUUCCCAAAAGACUGCGGCUGCGUCCUGGGAUACAGGGGAAAGGCUUGUGUAAGUCCUGGGCUGGCUGGGUCCUUUGGGGCGUCUUUUCUCACCAAGCCCAUUUCUAGGCACUGUUCCCCGGAGUUUGACCCCCAGCACCACUGUGAGCUCCAUCCUGCGGAACCCCAUCUACACUGUGCGCAGUCACAGGGUCGGCCCCUGCAGCUCUCCACCUGCGGCCCGAGAUGCUGGCCCCCAGGGUUUGCAUCCCAGUGUCCAGCACCAGGGACGCCUGAGCCUGGACCUGAGCCACAGGACCUGCAGCGACUACUCCGAGAUGAGAGCCACCCAUGGGUCCAACUCACUGCCCUCCAGCGCCCGCCUGGGUUCUUCGAGUAACUUGCAGUUCAAGGCGGAACGCAUUAAAAUCCCAUCAACACCAAGAUAUCCGCGGAGUGUCGUGGGCUCCGAGAGAGGUUCAGUGUCACAUUCUGAAUGCAGCACUCCUCCACAGUCACCCCUGAACAUCGACACCCUGUCCUCUUGUAGCCAGUCCCAGACCUCAGCCUCCACAUUGCCCAGAAUCGCUGUCAACCCCGCGUCCCUCGGGGAGCGGAGAAAGGACAGUUGAGGAAACUGGAUCCAGACGUUGGAGUGACAGACCUGUGGCCACGUGGUUAGUGGCUGGCACCGGGACUCAUUCUUACCCUUUGCUUUUUCCCUCUCAUUCGAAGCUUUCUGUUGUGAAAUAAAAUAUACACAGGAAGAAA
rnacentral:lncRNA from 1 species